rnacentral:rRNA from 1 species
AUUGAACGCUGGCGGCAUGCCUUACACAUGCAAGUCGAACGGCAGCACGGGUGCUUGCACCUGGUGGCGAGUGGCGAACGGGUGAGUAAUACAUCGGAACGUACCUUAUCGUGGGGGAUAACGCAGCGAAAGCUGUGCUAAUACCGCAUACGCCCUGAGGGGGAAAGCGGGGGAUCGCAAGACCUCGCGCGAUUAGAGCGGCCGAUGCCUGAUUAGCUUGUUGGUGGGGUAAAAGCCCACCAAGGCGACGAUCAGUAGCUGGUCUGAGAGGACGAUCAGCCAAACUGGGACUGAGACACGGCCCAGACUUCUACGGGAGGCAGCAGUGGGGAAUUUUGGACAAUGGGGGCAACCCUGAUCCAGCAAUGCCGGGUGAGUGAAGAAGGCCUUCGGGUUGUAAAGCUCUUUUGUCAGGGAAGAAACACCGGCUCUAACACAGUCCGGGAAUGACGGUACCUGAAGAAUAAGCACCGGCUAACUACGUGCCAGCCGCCGCUGUAA